UACGUAGGGGCCGAGCGUUGUCCGGAGUUAUUGGGCGUAAAGCGCGCGCAGGCGGCCUCGCGCGCCCGACGUGAAAGCCCCCGGCUUAACCGGGGAGGGUCGUUGGGGACGGCGGGGCUUGAGGGCGGGAGAGGUCGGUGGAAUUCCUGGUGUAGCGGUGAAAUGCGCAGAUAUCAGGAGGAACACCGGUGGCGAAGGCGGGUCUCUGGGGCCGAUACUGACGCUGAGGAGCGAAAGCGUGGGGAGCGAACAGG
rnacentral:rRNA from 1 species